CCUACGGGUGGCAGCAGUGGGGAAUUUUCCGCAAUGGGCGAAAGCCUGACGGAGCAAUGCCGCGUGAAGGUAGAAGGCCUACGGGACAUGAACUUCUUUUCCCGGAGAAGAAGCAAUGACGGUAUCCGGGGAAUAAGCAUCGGCUAACUCAGUACCAGCAGCCGCGGUAAGACAGAGGAUGGAAGGGGUAUCCGGAAUGAUUGGGGGUAAAGCGGGUGUAGGGGGCUUUUUAAGUUCGCCGUCAAAUCCCAGGGCUCAACCCUUGACAGGCGGUGGAAACUAGCAAGCUGGAGUACGGGAGAGGCAGAGGGAAGGUCCGGUGGAGCGGUGAAAUGCGUAGAGAUCGGAAAGAACACCAACGGCGAAAGCACUCUGCUGGGCCGACACUGACACUGAGAGACGAAAGCUAGGGGAGCGAAUGGGAUUAGAUACCCCAGUAGUC
rnacentral:rRNA from 1 species